UACGGAGGGUGCAAGCGUUAUCCGGAUUCGCUGGGUUUAAAGGGUGCGUAGGUGGUUUUGUAAGUCAGUGGUGAAAGCCCGGAGCUCAACUCCGGAACUGCCAUUGAUACUGCUUAACUUGAAUCAACUUGAGGUGGAUGGAAUAUUACAUGUAGCGGUGAAAUGCUUAGAUAUGUAAUAGAACACCGAUUGCGAAGGCAGUUCACUAAGGUUGUAUUGACACUGAGGCACGAAAGCGUGGGGAUCAAACAGG
rnacentral:rRNA from 1 species